rnacentral:rRNA from 1 species
UACGUAGGGUGCGAGCGUUAAUCGGAAUUACUGGGCGUAAAGCGUGCGCAGGCGGUUUUGUAAGCCAGAUGUGAAAUCCCCGGGCUUAACUGGGAAUGGCAUUUGGGACUGCAAGGCUGGAGUGCGGCAGAGGAGACUGGAAUUCCUGGUGUAAGCAGUGAAAUGCGUAGAUAAUCAGGAGGAAUACGAUGGCGAAGGCCAGGUCUCUGGGCUGACACUGACGCUCAUGCACGAAAGCGUGGGGAGCAAACAGGAUUACGAA